rnacentral:rRNA from 1 species
AGAGUUUGAUCAUGGCUCAGAACGAACGCUGGCGGCGUGCCUAACACAUGCAAGUCGAGCGCGAAAGUCCCUUCGGGGCAAGUAGAGCGGCGGACGGGUGAGUAAUACAUAGGUAAUCUACCUUCGAGCUUGGGAUAACCCCGCGAAAGUGGGGCUAAUACCGGAUAAGACCACGUAACCAUGCUACGGGGUAAAAGGUGGCUUAUUUUUUAAAUGAGCUAUCACUUGAGGAUGAGCCUGUGGCCUAUCAGCUUGUUGGCGGGGUAAAAGCCCACCAAGGCUAUGACGGGUAGCUGGUCUGAGAGGACGAUCAGCCACACUGGGACUGAGACACGGCCCAGACUCCUACGGGAGGCAGCAGUGGGGAAUAUUGGGCAAUGGGCGAAAGCCUGACCCAGCGACGCCGCGUGGGCGAUGAAGGCCUUCGGGUUGUAAAGCCCUGUCAUGCGGAAAGAACGACCCUGAGACGCAUACUCUCAGGGAGUGACGGUACCGCAGGAGGAAGCACCGGCUAACUCCGUGCCAGCAGCCGCGGUAAUACGGAGGGUGCAAGCGUUGUUCGGAAUUAUUGGGCGUAAAGGGCGCGUAGGCGGUAACGUAAGUCAGAUGUGAAAUACUCCGGCUCAACCAGAGAAUUGCAUCUGAAACUGCGUAACUAGAGUACAGAAGAGGGAAACGGAAUUCCCGGUGUAGAGGUGAAAUUCGUAGAUAUCGGGAGGAACACCAGUGGCGAAGGCGGUUUCCUGGUCUGAUACUGACGCUGAGGCGCGAAAGCGUGGGGAGCAAACAGGAUUAGAUACCCUGGUAGUCCACGCUGUAAACGGUGAACACUAGGUGUGGGAGGUGUAAUACCUUCCGUGCCGUAGCUAACGCGUUAAGUGUUCCGCCUGGGAAGUACGGCCGCAAGGUUGAAACUUAAAGGAAUUGACGG